CAAUCCCAAUUUCCAUCAAUGCAAACCUUUUUCUUCUAUAUAUUCUACCCACCUUCAUCACUCCACCUUACACAACCACUCUCUUCAACAAAUCAUGAAUGAACCAAAAUAUGCUUAUCCUUACCCUGCUCAAGGAGGAGGCUAUUAUCAAGGACCUCCGGUGAUGGCGCCGCCGCAAUACGCCGCACCUCCUCCUCCCCGACGAGAACCUGGUUUUCUUGAAGGCUGUCUAGCGGCUUUGUGUUGCUGUUGUCUUCUUGAUGAGUGUUGCUGUGAUCCAACUAUCAUCUUCUUCUGAUUGCUUUACUUAUGAAUAGAAGAAAAAUAUGAAUUUUAUGUUUUUUUUUUUUUUUUAGAUUUUGAUUUUAAUGUAUUUAUUUACUUAUUUAUGGUGUUCUAAGGUCUAACAAAUCCAUGUACUACCACUUUCUGUUUGUGUCAAUAAAUUAAAAAUUUGUAAUGUUGAAUUGAA